rnacentral:lncRNA from 1 species
UGAGGGGCCUAGAAAGGAAGAUGACCAAAACUCAGAGGGAAGGGAGCCCUAUCUUUAAUAAUUCUAGGGAAUAACAAAAACCAAAGAAAUAAGAAACUAAGAAAAUGUGGAAAAUUGUCUAAACAAUGCUCAAGGGUUAUAGAAGAACAGCCUCUCUCCACACAAAAAGGUACUUGAUGUCAGGGGACUAAGAGGAUGCAGGAGCCUCUAGAAAUAAUACCAAUGUCAUAUGCACCCAAGAGUAAUGAACAAAUGAGAGGUAUAGGUAGAUAAAAAAAAUAGAGGUAAGGGAAGAGAUGAGGAUAGGGGGUCCUAUAUAUGAAAAACCAUGCCUGUAGAGACCUCAAUGAACCUCUCCCUAAGAAUACCUCAGCACUGUGGACAAGCAACUAGUACUUACCUAAACCACUCUCCCUAACUUAGUAAAAAUCAUAGUGCAAAAAUAAAAGUGUGGUGAUUAUAAGGAUAGAUAGCUCAAUGCUCACUAUGAUUUUUUGGUAGUUUUACUCUGUCUCAUUUUUACUAAGUUAGGGAGAGUGUUUUAGGUAGGGCUCCCUUUCUUCUGAGUUUUGGUUGUCCUCCUAUAUAGGCCCCCCAUUACUGAGGAUUCCUUUCUUCGUAUAUUUGUGCUAGUCUGAGGGUUAUACCCUUCCUCUAGGAGUUUGACCCUAGGUGUUUUAUUAGAGACAAUCCUUCAGUCCCUGAUAUUUAUCCGGACUCCGGGAUUGUAUUCUUGUCCUACGAUUCUUUUUCAUUUUUAUGUAUUUGUUCACAUUAGUUUUGAUUCUUUUUUUUUUAAAUCAGAGCCAGGAUUUGCAUCCUCUGGACCUCAAUAUAAUUAAUUUGGACUGGAUUCCAGCAGUCUGGCGGUGUUCGGUAUGGUUAGAAUCUAGAACAAAUUCAGGCUAGUUUGGUGUCUGAUUUACAAAAUCCAAACAUUGUUGAAUUCCAUCAACAAUGUCCAGGUUGUGCAGUCUGAAUGCCCACUGUACAGAAGCAAAUGGUUUUGCCCCAUUUGGUACCGAGAAAUUUUGACUUUAGUGAAUACCCAUGUAAGUGUGAAAUUCACAUUGAAUUCUCACUAUAGUGAAUAACUCUGGUAAUCAUUCCAUAUGGGUACUAAGAAGCAGUGACAGGUGCCACAAUUCAGCAUGUGCUGCAAUAUAAAAUACUGAACUCCAUAGAAAAUCUCUGGUGAGAUUUGAAGAAGGUAGUGGCACGCAAACCCAAGAAUAUUACUGAACUGGAGGUCAUUGCUAAUGAGCAAUGGGUUAAGAUUUCUUAGGCACCCUGCCAGGAGCUGGUGUAGGGUUAUGCAUCUCAAUUGCAAAAGCAAAAUGAUGCUCUACCAUGAACUAAAGACACUUGCCAUGAAUGGGUUGAAUAAUUUUGAGACUGGAGAAGUCAUUAUAAAUUGAUUUUCAGUUGAAAUUGGGGAAACCACUUAAAGCAUUUGUUGUGUUGAGCUACUUCAAUUGCUUUUGUUUGAUUUGUUCAAUGCAAACAGCUGAAAGUCUGUACAUUUUGACAAUAAACCUGAUUUUCAAUGGGAG